UAGUCCACGCCGUAAACGAUCAUCACUCGCUGUUGGCGAUAAACUGUCAGCGGCCAAGCGAAAGCAUUAAGUGAUGCACCUGGGGAGUACGGUCGCAAGACUGAAACUCAAAGGAAUUGACGGGGGCCCGCACAAGCGGUGGAGCAUGUGGUUUAAUUCGAUGAUACGCGAGGAACCUUACCAGGGCUUAAAUGCAGAACGACAGACUGAGAAAUCAGUUUUUCUUCGGACGUUUUGCAAGGUGCUGCAUGGUUGUCGUCAGCUCGUGCCGUGAGGUGUCAGGUUAAGUCCUAUAACGAGCGCAACCCCUAUCUUUAGUUGCCAGCGGUUCGGCCGGGGACUCUAAAGAAACUGCCAGCGCAAGCUGUGAGGAAGGUGGGGAUGACGUCAAAUCAUCACGGCCCUUACGUCCUGGGCUACACACGUGCUACAAUGGUAAUGACAGAGGGCAGCCACUUGGCGACAAGGAGCGAAUCCCGAAACAUUAUCUCAGUUCGG
rnacentral:rRNA from 1 species